CAGUAAUAGCAUCACUGUAUUGUUCAUUCAGCACUGUGUGGCAUAAGAGCAGUGCCAAGGGUGAAAUAUAUGCUCCCUUCUAAGUCUUGGCUGGCUUGUAGCAGGGAACUCAGGAGACAACUUGGAGCUUGCCAACAGAACCAUAGCCAAAUCCAUCAAAGGAGGAAAGGAGAUAGCAGGACCCAGGUGACCAUUUUUACCAAUCAGACAGGAUUAGUGGUUUUCCAGGCUGAGUUACCAAAGAGAGCUUUCUUUACAGAUGCAGUUUUAUCUUUUACUUUAUGGAAGAAGGCCCUGUUUAACUAGUUCUGCAACCUUAGAAGGUCAGAGAAGAGGCAUGUGGGCAGGACAACAUGCAGAAGCUUGCACUGCCACUGCACAUGCUUUACCUGAUGUGCAGCUAAAGGACUUCAUUCUCCACCUACAGACAAUUCUGUUACUUUUCAUGAACAUAUAGUUCACUUACA